ensembl:rRNA 5S_rRNA 5S ribosomal RNA
CUCUGUGGCAAUACCACCCCUAAUGUGCUUGAUCUCCUCUGAUCUAGGAAGCUAAGCAGGGUUGGGCCUGGUUAGGACUUGGAUGGGAGAGUUAUGAGACUUGCAUGUAGCUCUAGAAU